UACAGAGGUCUCAAGCGUUGUUCGGAUUCAUUGGGCGAUAAAGGGUGCGUAGGCGGUCGCGGUAAGUCGGGUGUGAAAUCUCCGGGGCUUAACUCCGAAACUGCAUUCGAUACUGCCGUGCUUGAGGACUGGGAGAGGAGACUGGAAUUUACGGUGUAGCGGUGAAAUGCGUAGAUAUCGUAAGGAAGACCAGUGGCGAAGGCGGGUCUCUGGACAGUUCCUGACGCUGAGGCACGAAGGCCAGGGGAGCAAACGGG
rnacentral:rRNA from 1 species